rnacentral:misc_RNA from 1 species
AAGUCGUAACAAGGUUUCCGUAGGUGAACCUGCGGAAGGAUCAUUAUUACGUUAUCCAAACGUCAAACCCAAUUGUGAAACUGUUAAUCGGAAGGUUAAGAGAUUUGAGGACAAGUGCGUUCAUGACCCCAGUAGUGGGUGCUUGUCUUAUCUGAUUUAGUUCAGAUCUGCUCUUUAACUUCUGUUCAAAAUGAAAUUCCCGUCAUGAACAAUUUUUAACUUUUUAAACCCCAUGUACAAAAAUUGAACUAAAAACUCUGUCAAAGCCUUGUGCUUUGAUCGAAUAACCGAAAUUAAGAAAACAACUCUUAACAACGGAUAUCUUGGUUCUC